GUUUGAUCAUGGCUCAGAAUCAACGCUGGCGGCGUGCCUAACACAUGCAAGUCGAACGAGAAAGUGGGGGCAACCCUGCGAGUACAGUGGCAGACGGGUGAGUAACACGUGAACAACCUACCCUUGAGUGGGGAAUAACACCGCGAAAGCGGUGCUAAUACCGCAUAAAAUCCUUGGGUCGCAUGACCUGGGGGUCAAAAGCGCAAGUUGCUUGAGGAGGGGUUCGCGGCUGAUUAGCUAGUUGGUGAGGUAACGGCCCACCAAGGCAACGAUCAGUAGCCGGCCUGAGAGGGCGAACGGCCACACUGGAACUGAGACACGGUCCAGACUCCUACGGGAGGCAGCAGUGGGGAAUUUUGCGCAAUGGGCGAAAGCCUGACGCAGCAACGCCGCGUGGAGGAUGAAGGCCUUCGGGUCGUAAACUCCUGUCGAUGGGGACGAAGUCCUAGCAAUAGGAUUGACUGUACCCGUUGAGGAAGCCACGGCUAACUCCGUGCCAGCAGCCGCGGUAAUACGGGGGUGGCAAGCGUUGUUCGGAAUUACUGGGCGUAAAGGGCGCGUAGGCGGCUUUACAAGUCAGGUGUGAAAGCCCCGGGCUCAACCCGGGAAUUGCAUCUGAAACUGUAUAGCUUGAGUUCUGGAGGGGGUAGUGGAAUUCCCAGUGUAGCGGUGAAAUGCGUAGAUAUUGGGAGGAACACCUGCGGCGAAGGCGGCUACCUGGACAGUAACUGACGCUGAGGCGCGAAAGCUAGGGGAGCGAACGGGAUUAGAUACCCCGGUAGUCCUAGCCGUAAACGAUGGGCACUUGGUGUUGGGGGUAUUGAGUCCCUCGGUGCCGGAGCUAACGCGAUAAGUGCCCCGCCUGGGGAGUACGGUCGCA
rnacentral:rRNA from 1 species